UGGGGAAUCUUGCACAAUGGGCGAAAGCCUGAUGCAGCAACGCCGCGUGCGGGAAGACAGCCCUAGGGUUGUAAACCGCUUUCAGCAGGGAAGAAACUGACGGUACCUGCAGAAGAAGAUGCGGCCAACUACGUGCCAGCAGCCGCGGUGACACGUAGGCAUCAAGCGUUAUCCGGAUUUAUUGGGCGUAAAGAGCUCGUAGGCGGUUCGGUAAGUCGGGUGUGAAACUCUGGGCUCAACCCAGAGAGGCCACUCGAUACUGCUGUGACUAGAGUGCGGUAGGGGAGCGGGGAAUUCCUGGUGUAGCGGUGAAAUGCGCAGAUAUCAGGAGGAACACCAGUGGCGAAGGCGCUGCUCUGGGCUGUAACUGACGCUGAGGAGCGAAAGCAUGGGUAGCAAACAGGAUUAGAUACCCUGGUAGUCCAUGCCGUAAACGUUGGGCACUAGGUGUGGGUCUCAACC
rnacentral:rRNA from 1 species